rnacentral:rRNA from 1 species
AAAGGAAUUGACGGGGGCCCGCACAAGCAGUGGAGUAUGUGGAUUAAUUCGACGCAACGCGAAAAACCUUACCAGGUCUUGACAUCCACGGGAUCCUUACGAAAGUAGGGAGUGCCCUUCGGGGAGCCGUGAGACAGGUGGUGCAUGGUUGUCGUCAGCUCGUGUCGUGAGAUGUUGGGUUAAGUCCCGCAACGAGCGCAACCCUUAUUGUUAGUUGCUACGCAAGAGCACUCUAACGAGACUGCCGUUGACAAAACGGAGGAAGGUGGGGACGACGUCAAAUCAUCAUGCCCCUUAUGAUCUGGGCCUCACACGUACUACAAUGGUCGGUACAGAGGGAAGCAAAACCGCGAGGCAGAGCAAACCCCUAAAACCGAUCUCAGUUCGGACUGCAGGCUGCAACUCGCCUGCACGAAGUUGGAAUUGCUAGUAAUCAUGGAUCAGCAUGCCAUGGUGAAUACGUUCCCGGGCCUUGUACACACCGCCCGU